AUUGAACGCUGGCGGCAUGCCUUACACAUGCAAGUCGAACGGCAGCACGGGGCAACCUGGUGGCGAGUGGCGAACGGGUGAGUAAUGCAUCGGAACGUGCCAUUGAGUGGGGGAUAACGUAGCGAAAGUUGCGCUAAUACCGCAUAUUCUGUGAGCAGGAAAGCAGGGACCGCAAGGCCUUGCGCUCUUUGAGCGGCCGAUGUCAGAUUAGCUAGUUGGUGAGGUAAAGGCUUACCAAGGCGACGAUCUGUAGCGGGUCUGAGAGGAUGAUCCGCCACACUGGAACUGAGACACGGUCCAGACUCCUACGGGAGGCAGCAGUGGGGAAUUUUGGACAAUGGGCGCAAGCCUGAUCCAGCCAUGCCGCGUGAGUGAAGAAGGCC
rnacentral:rRNA from 1 species